rnacentral:rRNA from 1 species
GGGUUUGAUUAUGGCUCAGAACGAACGCUGGCGGCGCGCUUAACACAUGCAAGUCGAACGGCAACGGGUCCUUCGGGAUGCCGGCGAGUGGCGAACGGGUGAGUAACGCGUGGAUACCUGCCCUAUGGUGGGGAAUAACGUCUAGAAAUGGACGCUAAUACCGCAUAAGCCCUAUGGGGGAAAGAUUUAUUGCCAUGGGAGGGGUCCGCGUCGGAUUAGCUAGUUGGUGGGGUAACGGCCUACCAAGGCGACGAUCCGUAGCUGGUCUGAGAGGAUGAUCAGCCACACUGGGACUGAGACACGGCCCAGACUCCUACGGGAGGCAGCAGUGGGGAAUAUUGCGCAAUGGGGGAAACCCUGACGCAGCGACGCCGCGUGGGUGAAGAAGGCCUUAGGGUUGUAAAGCCCUUUCAGUGGGAAAGAUGAUGACGGUACCCACAGAAGAAGCUCCGGCUAACUCCGUGCCAGCAGCCGCGGUAAUACGGAGGGGGCUAGCGUUGUUCGGAAUUACUGGGCGUAAAGGGCGCGUAGGCGGUUGAUCAAGUCAGGAGUGAAAGCCUCGUGCUCAACGCGGGAACUGCUUCUGAAA